UCCAUCGGCAUAAAAUUGGUGUAGCUCUACUAAGGCUGCUUGAAACACGCCCGUCGUGUACAAUAGGAUCUCUAGGCUAAAGAGUAGUCGAUUCCUCUCUUAUGCAAACAGGGAUAAUAUUCAAGUCUAUGGAAGAUCUCUAAGAAAAAAUAUGCACAAAACAACUUAAUGUCUUAAUUUAACCUUGAGCUAGAGCUACACCAAUUUUAUGCCGAUGGAAUGUGAUUUCCCUCAAUCCCCUUUGGUUGGAGGUUGCAUACAUGCACAGAAAUGCCCUUUCU
rnacentral:misc_RNA from 1 species